GCGAACGCUGGCGGCAGGCCUAACACAUGCAAGUCGAACGAACUCUUCGGAGUUAGUGGCGGACGGGUGAGUAACACGUGGGAACGUGCCUUUAGGUUCGGAAUAACUCAGGGAAACUUGUGCUAAUACCGAAUGUGCCCUUCGGGGGAAAGAUUUAUCGCCUUUAGAGCGGCCCGCGUCUGAUUAGCUAGUUGGUGAGGUAAAGGCUCACCAAGGCGACGAUCAGUAGCUGGUCUGAGAGGAUGAUCAGCCACAUUGGGACUGAGACACGGCCCAAACUCCUACGGGAGGCAGCAGUGGGGAAUCUUGCGCAAUGGGCGAAAGCCUGACGCAGCCAUGCCGCGUGAAUGAUGAAGGUCUUAUGAUUGUAAAAUUCUUUCACCGGGGACGAUAAUGACGGUACCCGGAGAAGAAGCCCCGGCUAACUUCGUG
rnacentral:rRNA from 1 species